rnacentral:lncRNA from 1 species
GCAGUCAUGUCCAUUACCGAGAGAUCUCUUGUAGUCACUUCAUGAUAGCUCACUGUCUCAAGAAGGUGAGCAUUUGGGUUAUGCCUGGGGUCUGCAUCGUACACACCAUCAACAUUUGUUGCUUUAAGCACUACCUCUGCAUUAACUGUUUGCAUAAUAGCAGGAAGAAAAUGUCAGUCUGUUAGGUUAAACAAUUUUUACUGAAUGAAACAAUGCUGUCCAUCUAAAAGGCCAGUCUAGGAAAGGUAAGUUUAAGCUCACACUAAUAGCAUGUUUCUACAGGCAAACUAGACCUUGUGAUUCAUGAUUACUUAUGUAAAUAUGUGACACGCAACUCUCCUGCGGCGUUCGAGAUUACUUAUGUAAAUAUGUACGAGUUAAUGAAAAUACACUCUAACACAAGUUUUGUACAAGUCCCAGCUUGUGGCAGAAAACCG